AUGGAUGAUCAACAAAUCAAUAAACUUCUUAGAUACAUUACAAAUCACAUUAUCGAUUACUUUGAAAAAGAGAAAAGUGGUAAGAUCAUUGAUGUUCAAAGACAAUGUAGAUGUUUUGCAUUUGUUUCAACUUUCGUUCGAGAGUUCCUUGUAAAAUGCAUGUGUAUCCUCCGUCAUUUGUAUAGUGAGGCAAUAUCGUUUCAGUUUUCGCCAUGUAAGUAA